UUGGAAACACUAAUAUGAGAAGGAUCAAAGAGGACGUGGAGGAAGUAAGAAUGCUGAUAAAAGUAAUCUGGAAAGAAAUGGUGAAAAGAGAAAUGAUAAUCUCUGAAGAAGAAAAUAAAGGUGCAAGGGGCUACUGCGAGUUCCGUGAAGAAAAGGAACAUGAGAUCCAGGAAUGUGACGAGUUUAAGGCUUUGAUACAAAGCCUUAUGGAUAAUAAGGAGCUGGAAUUUUAUGAAGCUGGCUCAGAUGAGGGUCAUGUAUGCACAUUGGAAGAUGAACCCAACAAUCAAAUAAUCAACCGGCCAAGGAUCAUUAUUUCUCUACCAAUGAAUAAUGAAGUCGAAACAUAAACAGCACCGAAGGUUAUUACUCGCAAACUCGUUUUCUUUCCUUAUAAGGAUAACAAGAGGGUACCCUGGUAUUAUGACUGUAAUGUGACAAUGCCAGAGAAAGAGGCUAUAGCUAGUGCUUCUAAAGAGGCUCAAGAUAAGGGUUCUUACACACGUAGUGGGAAGCGUUAUAAUGUAGAAGGAGUCAGAGUUGAGCCUGCGAAAGCAAAAGCCUUUGACAAAGAAAAAGGGGUUGAAGUACUUGUUAAUGAGCCAGUAAAGGAAGAAGAAGCCAGAGAGUUUUUAAAAUUCUUAAAACACAGUGAGUACAGCGUGGUUGAACAAUUGCGCAAGCAACCAACUCACAAAUCAAUGUUGGCUUUGCUUCUGAGUUCAGAGGUACAUCGAGAAACAUUAAUGAAGGUGCUCAAUGAGACUUACGUUACUAAUGAUAUAUCCGUCAAUAAGUUAGAUCGAUUGGUUAGUAACAUAAGUGCUGACAAUUUUAUCUAUUUCAAUGAUGAUGAAAUCCCACUUGGUGGCAUAGGAUCAGCUAAAGCUUUACAUAUCACCACUCGCUAUAAGGGGUAUACAUUGCCGAGUGUGCUUAUUGAUAAUGGAUCAGCCUUAAAUGUCUUACCAUUGUCCACAUUGAAUAGAUUACCCAUAGACAGUUCUCACAUAAAAACAUGCCAUAAUGUAGUGAGAGCAUUCGAUGGCACGGAGAGAAAGGUCAUGGGAAGAAUUGAUAUUCCUUUGAUGAUUGGGCCAAAUACGUAUGAGGUGGACUUUUUAGUGAUGGACAUCAAGCCCUCUUACAAUUGCCUGUUGGAGAGGCCUUGGAUACAUUCGGCAGGAGUAGUGCCCUCAUCCUUGUACCAGAAAUUGAAGUUAGUAACGGACAGACGGCUAGUCACCAUAAAUGCAGAGGAAGACAUCAUAGCAGCAGUUACCAGCGACGCACCAUAUGUAGAGGCAAAUGAUAAGGCUAUUGAGUGCUCUUUUCGUUCCUUAGAAUUCGUCAAUGCAACAUUCAUUUCAGAGAGGAAGGAGGUGUCAGUACCCAGGAUAUUCAGAACCACAAGAAUGGGUUUACAGAUGACAAUGGGGAAAGGAGCUUUGCCAGGAAAAGGAUUGGGAAGAUAUCUUUAAGGAAGGAUUUAGAUUCCAGAAUUAAAGGAGAAGAGAGACCAUUUUGGCUUGGGUUUCAGGCCAGAUCACAAGCAAAGGAGGAAGGAAAUAGAGAAGCGUCAGGAAAGAAGAAAGACGCAUUUAAAUGGAAGAGAAGUAGAGUGGGAAUUGAUGACAUUCCCUCAUAUAUCCCAAACUUUUAUAUCAGGAGGGAUAAUUUACCCUAAGAAAGGGUUGCUCGAAAAAGAAAGUUAUCACAUCAAUGCUGUACAUAAUGAAGAGCCUGAAUGAAAAAACCUUGAGGGCAUUCGCCGUUAAGAACCGAGAAGCUCUUUAAACAAUUGGAUUGCAGAAGAAUUUCUUGUAGUUUUUAAAGACUUUUCAAAGUAAUUUUUAAAACACUCUUGUUGCUCUAAAGCCUGGGAGUAAUAAGGUUUCGUUUGUAAAAUAGGUUCAUGUUUGGAUAUUUGUAUUUCAAUAAAACAUCACUUUUGUUAUCAAUCCAAGUGAAUAUCCUUUUAUACCGAUCAAUAUUCUUUUGACCUUUUUAAAUUCUUUCAAAUUUUUCAUUUCAUACAUAACACAUAAAUGAACAUUCUUAAAAUUCAUUCAUUCUUUGUACAUUCUUUCGUACCCCGCAAGUCCCUAGAUAUCAAUGACAUGAGCACUGAUACUACAAAUCCUGAAUUCUCUUUUAAGUAAGACAUGUGUGUAGAAGAACCUCAGGAUUUUGAAGAUGACGGGAAUUGUGAUGUGUCUCCAAAUCUGUUGAGAAUGGUGAAACAAGAGGAGAAACAAAUCCUACCCCGUGAGAAAGAGGCAAUAGAGAAUGUAGUCUUGGAAGAAUGAAAAGAGGUAAAAAUAGGGACACAUAUUGCAAAGGAAACGAGACAAGGUCUUGUUGAGCUACUACGUGAAUUCAAAGAUAUAUUUGCAUGGUCAUACGAGGAUAUGCCGGGACUGAAUACUGAUAUCGUGGUACAUUGUCUCCCCAUAAGACAAGAUUGCAAGCCGGUCCAACAAAAAUUACGAAGGAUGAGGCCUGAUAUUGUGCUGAAAAUAAAAGAUGAAGUCAAAAAGCAGUUUAAUACUGGAUUCCUACAAGAGGUUAAGUAUUCAAAAUGUGUGGCUAACAUUGUGCUUGUCCCUAAGAAGGAUGGGAAGGUACGAAUGUGUGUUGAUUACAUAGAUCUGAACAAAGCUAGCCCAAAGGACAACUUUCUUUUACCGCACAUCGACACUUUGGUGGACAAUACAGCGGGAUAUUCAUUGUUUUCUUUUAUGGAUGGCUUCUCAGGGUACAAUCAGAUAAAGAUGCAUCCCAAGGACAUGGAUAAAACUACCUUUAUAACAUUAUGAGGCACCUUUUGUUACAAGGUAAUGCCCUUCGGGUUAAAGAAUGCAGGGGCAACAUACCAAAGGGCUAUGGUGAACUUAUUUCACGAUAUGAUGCACAAGGAGAUUGAAGUGUAUGUUGAUGACAUGAUUGCUAAAUCUCGAACAGAGACAGAGCAUAUUGAAGUCUUGAAGAAGUUGUUCAUAAGAUUAAGGAAGUUUCAGUUGAAGCUUAAUCCAGCAAAGUGCAUUUUCGGAGCUAGGUCGGGGAAAUUAUUGGGCUUUGUGGUCAGCGAAAAGGGAAUAGAAGUUGACUCAGACAAGGUUAGAGCCAUACGAGAAUUGCCUCCACCACAUACUCAAAAGGAAGUUUGGGGUUUUCUUGGAAGAUUGAAUUAUAUUGCUCGGUUUAUUUCACAAUUAACCGAUAAAUGUGAUCCUAUAUUUCGCCUCAUUAGAAAACACAACCAAGGUAUAUGGAAUGAGGAAUGCCAGAAUGCUUUUGAUAAGGUUAAGCAAUACUUGUUAAACGCUCCAGUAUCAUCUCUGCCCAGUCCAGAUAGACCAUUAAUUCUGUACUUAUCAGUGUUUAGUAAUUCUAUAGGGUGUGUGCUUGGUCAACAUGACGAGUCAAGAAGAAAGGAGAAGGUGAUAUAUUACCUUAGCAAGAAAUUCACAGAGUGUGAGAUGAGAUAUUCACAAAUUGAGAAGUUGUGUUGUGCUUUGAGCUGGACGACUCGAAGGUUGAGGCAAUAUAUGCUAUAUCAUACAACUUGGCUAAUUUCGAAACUUGAUCCAUUAAAGUACAUGAUGGAGUCAACAGCCCUAAAUGGAAGAAUGGCAAGGUGAAAAGUACUACUUUCAGAAUUUGAUAUAGUCUAUGUGAGUCAAAAGGCUAUAAAAUGGAGCGCGAUAGCAGAAUUUCUGGCUAGCAGAGCUCUAGAAGAUUAUGAGCCGUUAAGCUUUGAUUUUCCUAAUGAGGAGUUGAUGUAUGUGGCAACUAUUGAAGAACGUCCAUGGAAGCUAAACUUUGACGGCGCAUCCAAUGCGGUAGGAAAUGGAAUUGGGGCAGUCUUGGUAUCCCCAAAUGGUGAUCAUUAUCCAUUUACAUGUAAAUUAGAUUUUCACUGUACGAACAAUAUGGCUGAGUAUGAAGCAUGCAUCAUGGGGAUUCAAGCGGCCAAAGAGCGAAAAAUUAGAACCCUGGAAGUGUAUGGAGACUUUGCGUUGGUAAUAUACCAACUUAGGGAUGAAUGAGAGACAAGGGACCCCAAAUUGAUUAAUUAUCGAAGGGUAGUUUUGGAGUUACUUGAAGAGUUUGAUAACGUCACUUUCAGUUAUCUCCCACGAAACGAAAAUCAAAUGGCGGACGCUUUGGCAACAUUAGCUUCCAUGAUUAAAGCAAAUAAACAAGAGGAGGUGAGACCAAUUCAGAUGAGCGUUUCUGAGGUUCCAGCUCAUUGCUGUAAUAUCGAAGAAGAUGAAAAGGAUGACCAUCCUUGGUAUCAAGAUAUAUUACGGUAUGUGAGAAAUCGUGAAUAUCUUGAGCAGGCAACUGAGAAUGACAAAAGAACUUUGAGAAGGUUAGCCUGCGAAUAUGUACUAGAUGGAGACAUCCUUUAUAAAAGAAGGAAAGAUCAGGUACUCUUAAGAUGCGUCGAUGCUGUGGAAGCUAGACAAAUCCUGGAAGAAGUACAUGAAGGUGUUUGUGAGACACAUGCUAAUGGCUUUACGAUGGGCAAGGAAAAUCAUGAGGUUUGGAUAUUUUUGGUCUACUAUGGAAAGAGAUUGUAUCAGCUAUACUAAAAAAUGUCAUAAAUGCUAGAUAUAUAGGGACAAGAUUCAUGUACCACAUUCACCCUUAUAUGUUAUGACUUCUCCAUGGCCCUUUUCCGUGUGGGGCAUGGAUGUCAUAGGGCUAAUAUCACCAAAGCUUCGAAUGGGCAUCGUUUCAUUUUUGUGGUCAUUGACUACUUCACAAAAUGGGUAGAGGCAGCUUCAUAUGCUAGUGUUACCAAGUCGACUGUAAGUUGUUUCUUGAAAAAGGAGAUUAUUUGUCGGUAUGGAAUGCCUGAGAGGAUUAUAUCGGACAAUGCAUUGAACUUGAAUAACAGCAUGAUUGUGGAAGUUUGUAGCCAAUUUAAGAUCAAACAUCAUAAUUCAUCUCCAUAUCGCCCAAAAAUGAAUGGGGCAGUGGAAGCUGCCAUCAAGAAUAUUAAGAGCAUAGUAGGGAAAAUGACUGAGACCUACAAAGACUGCAUGAGAAAUUACCAUUUGCACUCAUUGCCUAUCGAACGUCAGUCAGAACCUCUACUGGGGCAACACCUUUCUCAUUGGUUUAUGGGAUGGAGGCAGUGUUGCCCAUUGAAGUAGAAAUACCUUCUCUUCGAAUUUUGUCAGAAAUAAAGCUGGAUGAAGCAGAAUGGAUUCAAUUGCAGUAUGACUAAUUGAACUUGAUUGAAGAAAAGAGGCUAAGGGCUAUUCGUCACGGUCAGAUAUAUCAGAAGAGAAUUCCACGAAGGGGACCUUGUAUUGAAAAAGAUUCUUCCCAUAAGAAGGACUUUAGAGGAAAAUGGAUGCCAAAUUGGGAAGGACCGUACGUUGUGAAGAAGGCUUUCUCUGGUGGUACACUGAUUUUGACAGAAAUGGAUGAGAAAAGUUUACCCAAUCCAGUGAAUUCAGACUCAGUCAAGAAUUACUUUGUCUAAAGAGAAAGGAAGUCAAGGUGAAAACCCACAAAGGGCGCUUUGAGAUUUCUGAAAACUUCUAAAAAAAAUAGAGAGGCCAAGGUGAAAACCCGUAAAGAGCGCCCUGAGACCAAAGGGGUUUUGAGUUGAAAACCCGAAAUGGCUGUUCAAAUUUUAAAAAGCAUGCAGUGACCUUGCUAUACUAGAUUUGACAAGAAAUGGAGUAUGUUACAUACUAGGGCAUCGACAAAAUACUUUGAAUCUUCUAAACAAAUGAUAAACUCAAAACAGUCUUCAUGGAAUUUGUAUAUAGAAGCCCAAGCUGUGAUAUGUUGGAUAUGUGAUUUUUGUUCUGUUUACUAUCUUUGGAUUCUUUUUCUUCUCAAAGAUAUGUUUUUAGAUUAAUUUCCUAUUGUAUUCUGAUGAUUUAUUUAACUAUUCUCAAGAUUAAAUUAUUUGUCUUCCAUUAUUCAUAAAGUGUGUUACAUUGAAAUAAUGAUUGAUGAACUAAAUAUUUUUACAAACGAAGUUUUGCAUAUUACUCUGAAAAUCUCUAGAGAAUACAAGAAACUAAAACAGAACAAUUGUUUGAAGAAUUCCCAUGAGUGAGGGUCAGAGGUAUUCAAGAAAAUUUCUUCAGUUCAAAGGAUAAUUGGACAAUUCAAACGAUUCAAUCUUAGGAGAGGAUCGUCUCCAGCAGGUCGUAACAUUCGGAGAAUGGUACAAUAGGACCAAUCUGAUUCAAAACACAUGAGCAAAGUAUGAUUGAUACUUUGAGUAAAAUAAAGGUGGAACUUUGAUGGAUGAACGAGUAAAGACGUCCGAAAUAGGAAUCAUUUUCAUAACAUUUUGCAUCAUAGUAUGUCUAUUUAGGAGCAUUUGACUCAUUUCGGUCAUGUCACCUUAAUCAUCGGGCAUGAGCACAUAUGCAUUCUACAGGUUACGCCCUUUAAGGGACAAUAUAGAUCACCGAUAGUAGAUUUGGCGUCUCUGUAUUGACAGAGAGCAGAUCGAAGAUAACAGAUUUGGCUUCUCUGUAUUGACAGAGAGCAGAUCGAAGAUAACAGAUUUGGCGUCUCUGUAUUGUCAGAGAGUAGAUCGAAGAUAACAGAUUUGGCGUCUCUGUAUUGUCAGAGAGCAGAUCGAAGAUAACAGAUUUGGCGUCUUUGUAUUGAUAGAGAGCAGAUCAAAGAUAGCAGAUUUGGCAUCUCUGUAUUGACAGAGAGUAGAUCGAAGAUAGCCAAUUUGGCGUCUCUGUAUUGACAGAGAGCAAAUCGAAGAUAGCCGAUUUGGCAUCUUUUUAUUGUCAGAGAGCAGAUCGAAGAUAGUAGAUUUGGCGUCUCUGUAUUGUCAGAGAGCAGAUCGAAGAUAGCAGAUUUAGCGUCUCUGUAUUGACAGAGAGCAGAUCGAAGAUAGCAGAUUUGGCGUCUUUGUAUUGACAAAGAGUAGAUUGAAGAUAGCAGAUCUAACAUUUGUAUGCUUACAUCGAAGCAGAUUGAAGAUGACAGAUUCAGCUUCUCCAUAUUAGGCAAGGAGAAGAUCAGAGAUUUCAGCUUGGCAUUCCUGAGUUUGCAGGGAGCAAGUUGAAUAUAGCAGAUUUGACAUUCCUGGGUUACGGUGAAGCAAGUUUGAAGCUAUCAGAAUACCUUUGAAGAAGAUGAGGAUCAAGAUUUCGAGACCUGGCCAGGCCGGGCAAAAUUGGUCCUUUUAUAGUCUUUGCUCUAUUCCUGUUACACAGUAAUGAGCAAAUAGGGGCAGCUGUAAUAACCCAAAUUUGCCCAGCCCAGAAAAUAAAAAAACAAAAAAUAAAAAGUCCUUUACAGUCCAUUUACAAAUCACGCCAGUAGCCCAUUACACUUAAAAGCCCUUUAACUUGAACUAAACCCAAAUUAAUGAGGCCAAGGAAGGCUCAAUGCCUAAACUGAAUCAGGAAACCCUAGGGUUUCCAGAAGCUUCGCGCCGCAAACUCCAAACGUCACGCCCCUUCGUCUCGCGCAAUUUCAGUGAACCCUCAUCGACGCCUCCAUCGGUGCCGUGACUACCGUAAUCUGCCCGCGAAUCAACACCCUAUCGUCACCGAAUUUCUCGCUGGUACCUGCAAAAAAGGAAAGAAGAACAACAGAGGCAAUACAAAUAUGGCAGGGAAUAAAAUCAAACAUGUUAAAUAUUAUUUUCAGUGGCUAUAAAAGCCCGAAUCAAAAUGAUGUAAAGCACGGUUUUUUUUAAAUGGAGAUAUACAAUAAAGAAUAAAACAGUUUAUCAAAGAAAACAGAGGUGAUUAGUUCUUUACCUUUUCUUCUUGUUGCAAACAUAUACAAAUUUUAUUAAAAUAAAAGGAAAGGGAGUUUACUAUUGGAUUUGCGCUAAAAACCAGAAGCUUUUCGGCUUUCGGCCGCCGUAUCUAGCGGAGUUGAAGACGGUACGUGGACGCGUGAGUCUGAUGACCGGGCUUGGCCCGACGGAGGCUGGAGCCCAGAGGAUUUCCUCUCUUUUCCUCUUUCAGAGGAUUUCUGUUCUUCUUUUUUUAAAACCAGGGGCUAAAAUGAUUUUUUAAGUUUUUUUUUUACAUUUAUAAGCUACCUAUAUGACGUCGUUUUGGGAUGACCGUUUAGUGACCAAACGGUGUCGUUUCAGGGCUGAGGAUCCGCGCGUUGACCCGUGACCUGGGGAGGAUCCGCGCGUUUUUGAUAAAUGGGAAAAUUACUGUUUGAGCCCUUCCGCAUUUUUCGUUUUUUAAAUGUCGUUUAAUUCUAAAUUUCUCUAUUUUUAAAUCUGGCCCUAAUAGUUUGUUUCUGUUUCAAUUUGGUUCCUGAACCCUUUAAAGUGUAAUUUUUAAAACGGCGUCGUUAUGGGAUUAGGGAUAAUUGCCCAGUGAGUCCCUCGUUUUUUGGCGCGCGCUUUAAUUGGAUCCAAAAUUCAUUUUAUUUUAAAAUUAACCCUAAAGUUUUUUUAUUUCAUUUUAAUCCUUUUGAUUUUUUUAUAAUUUAUUUAAUUUAAAUAUAAUAUACAAUAUUUAUUUUUACCAUAAACAUUAUCUAUAUAUGAAAAAUUAUUAUAUAUUUUUUUAUUUUUUAUUUGUGUAUUAUUUGUUAAAUCAUUUACAUUUCAUUAUAUAUUUUGAUUUAUACAUUUUAUUAUAUAUCAUUUUAUUAUAUAUUAUUGUUAUUUUAUUAUAUAUUAUAAUUAUUCAUUAUUUAUUAUUAUAUAAUUUUCAAAUUUGUAAAUUACUAUUAAAUAUUGCAUUUUUAUAUCAUUAUUAAAAUUUAGUAUGUAAUACACUAAAAUUUAUAAUAAAGUUUUAUUCCUAUUAUACAAUAUUAUUUUAUAAAACAUAUUAAAUUAUUACAUCAUAUAGUCUAUUUUUUAUUAAUCAUAUAUAAAAUCUUCUUCUUUACUAUUUAUCUAUGGUUUUAAAUAUUUUUUAAAAAUACCUCAUUUAAUUUUUAUUGUAUUUUAUUUUUUAUAUAUGUUUAUAAUUUUUUUAUUUAUUUUUGCGUCCUUUUGGAUUUAUUUAGUAUCGUUUUAAUAUGUUCUCAAAGAUUAUUUGUAUUUUUAUGUUAUUUACUAUUUAUGUAUAUUUGCAUGAAAAUUGACUAUUUAUGUUGUUAUUUUAAGUUAUAUUUAUAUGUAAUAUUAUUGUAUACAUAUUAUGCAAUUUAUAUUGUUAUAUAUUCAUUAUGCUCUAUGUUGUAUUUUGCAUGUAACAAUAAUGCAUGUAUAUUUAUGUUAUUUAUGAUCAUAUAUGCAUAAAAUGAUAAUGUAUAUUGUGUAAUUUAUGUCAUUAUUUAUCAUUUUUUAUAUUAUAUUUGCAUGGAAUGAUAAAGUAGGUAUCAUGUAGGUUAAUUUAUUUAAUAUUGAUCCUUUGUAAUAAGUUGAAUGCAUCAUCACUUUAAAGAACUUUUAUAUCUCAUUCGAUCCAAAAGAAUAUAAAAAAUAAGGCAAUGUUUUUUGGUACUUAGGAAUUCGGGAAGUAGUACCCUAACAUGCUGGGUUGCGAUUUCCCGUUUGUCUAAAUGCCUAAAAUAUCCUUCUAAAUAAGUUUUGAAAAUCACAAGAUGAUUUCAGUUACGAAAGUUUAAGAACAUCGUGUCCAAUCAUGCUGGAUGUGAUGUUUAUAUUCUUUUGAAGUGAAGGAUUCUUGAUUUUUAACUCAAAUUAUUACGGUUUUAAAAGAGAUCUUAUUUCUAAAUUCUUUUAAGCUUUUGAAGCGAAGGAUUCUUGAUUUUUAACUCAAAUUAUUACGGUUUGAAAAGAGAUCUUAUUUCUAAAUUCUUUUAAGCUUUUGACAUUAAGACAAAACUAUUCAAUUUGGUACCAAUUUUGGGCGUUGCGAGGGUGCUAACCCUUCCUCGUACGUAACCGAAUCCUGAGCCCGUUUUCUCAUAAUUUCGUAGACCAAAAUGUUUUAUAAGGUGAUCCAAUCACACUUUAAAAGGUUGGUGGCGGCUCCUGUUUUCAAAAUACCCUCCCCGUUUAAAAGAGGUUUUGACAACCCCCAUAUUUUAUUUGGCACAUUGUCCUUAAUGUGCUUAAAAAUAAAAUAAGGAACGAAAUUACCUAAUUUGGCGUGAUAGUCCAUGAACAAUGUUGGGUAGCCUUGUCCUCCCCGAUUUAACUCCAAAAAAUUUUGUAUCAUCCAAAAUAUAGGAUUCUUACACAGAAAAACACAUUUUUUUAAAGAAUCUUAACUCGAUGUCGCAACAUUAACUUCAAAGUUCCUAGCUAAUUGGUUCAAAAUCUAGUAUCGUGACAUUGAGAUUCAAUUUUGUGACAUUCUCCUUGUAUUUUAACUUUGAAGUUCCAUGUCAUGACGCCAGAGUUCAUCGUCGUGACUUUGAGUCUAGUUCUAUGCUUCUUCAAGUUUUUUUUUUGAGAUGUUCCACAAUAUCAACACCUACUUGUGGAAAACAACACAAACAAUCAAAAGGAACAAAACAAAAUUUUAAAAAUAAAAAAUAUAUAUUAAAUAAAUAAAUAAUAAAAUAAAAGGAAAAACUAGAGAAAAAAUAAAAGUUCUUUUUAAAGACUAGGACGAUCUGCAUCACAACCAUAGAAGAAUUUUCAGCUGGUCCUCGACACUUUGAUCCUUCAUUUGUUUCAUUGUUGAUGUAUCUGAACCAAUAAUUUUGGUCGAUUCUGAUGAUAUUGCCUUAGUUUUUACCGGCGUGACAUCUACAUUACGAGCUAUUUAAUGCCAAAGUUGAGCCAACCGCAAAUGGUUUUUUGGGAUAUUAUUAGCUCGAGCUUUUUCACCUCAAUGUCACGUAAGGAUCUAUCAACCUAAGUUUUGUCAUCGUCAUCGAACGAGAAUGAUAUGAACUCGUCAACCUCUUCGGUUGGCGUUUCCUCUUCUAUGGCCAGAAGGUGUGUCGACUCAUUGACACCUUCACUUAGAAUCAGUUUAAGCUCCAAGUUAAUGGUUAAUGUUACAUCUACUUCUAAAUCUACUAUUACAUCUAUGCCAAAGUUAAUUAGAUCAAAGACUACUUCGGCGAUCUUCAAUUCUUUCUCGUACCCAAUUUCAAACUCUAGCCAACUUUUGUAGUCUACUUACGGAUGGUCGAUAGUGCUACUAUAGGUUUCAUAAUUACAGUUGGAGGCAUCAUGUACAACCUUUUCCAAUGGGAUUUCUACUUCUGCUUGCCUUCGGAGCAAUUUCUCUAACUAGUCCACCUAUUUUUGAAUUCUUUCUAGGUUAGUUUGGAAUGCAUCCGACUCAGGAUGGAAUGUGGAUAAAUAUUCUCCACACCUUCGAUCAUGACUCCGCUGAUUCAUUGAAACUCCAUUUGUUCGACAUGAUUUUUUAUUGCUUCUAUGUUGUUCAUACAAAUAGCAGUAUACAUCGUCAUCCAAGAUUAAUUUGAAUUCUUUUUUGACUGAAUGUUUGGGCAUAUCAAAUUCUUCCUUAUAACUCCAUUGGUUCGUCAAAUCUUCGUUUGUCAAACUUGAUUCUUCAUUAAUGUUCCAAUCCAAUGGUUUUGUACAAUCUGGUUCAGGAUGAUUAAUCAUAAUACAAGGGUCUUCUAGUUGAAGUUAGGAACAUGAUGCACAACCUCAUCCAAUGGGGUUUGUUGUAGCUCCAUCGUAAGCAAUAUUUGGUUCUCCUCGAUAUCCUAUUCUUCAUAAAAUCAUUCCUUGUAUACUUCAUCAUCAUACAACGCAGACAUUUUGCAUUCUUCAGCCCAACUCUUAUUAUCAUCAAACUCAUAAUCAACCCAAUCCAUGAGUAAAUUAGUUAGUCAACAAGGUAGCUAAAAAUAAAAAUAACUAAAAAUAAUGAAAAAUAAAGUUAAUACACUAUCUAACUCAUUCGUCUUUCGAUUAAUAUUAUUUUACGAAGCAAUUAAUCUAAUAAUAAUUUUCACAGUCGCAAUCCUCGGCAACAACACCAACAACUUGAAUGCUACCAAAUGUGCGAAUGUUUGGACUGAAAAUACUGCAGCAAAAAGAUAAUAAAUAAAGCAACGGUGUCCACAAGUAUACUGGUCAAAUUGUAAUAUAGGUUGUUUACAACGAAACACGUGGAAAGUAUUCCAUGGAUUGUAACCAAGAGAUUGCAGAUUGGAGAAAUUUAUUAUUAGAUUAAUUACAGAAAAUAAGUACUAAUCUAAUCGAGUUCCGAAUUAGUAGUACAAAUCUAAAUUAAAGUAUUUAUUAAACUAAUUAAGUUAAUUAACCUAAACUAAGCUAAUGAAAUUUCCUAUUCCUAGUGUGGACAAUACAAGCUCUCGGCCUUUAAUCAAUUAAAUCCCUAAAUAACAACUAAGUCAUUAAUUACCCUCAACUGAGUUCUUUACCACCUUUAGCUACAAAUACCCUCUCGGUCUCAUCUUCACUAAGGAUUGCCACUUAAGUCACCCUCUGGUCUUUUCCUAGGCAUACGGAUAACUCUCGAUCUCAUCACUGGGCAUAAGUUACACUUAACAGACUACCCCCUUUUAGUCUCACCUUUCUUGAUAUUCUAUUAGGGAUGUCACUCUUUAAUAUAAUAAGUACUCUUGAAUGAACUCUCAAUUUUAGGUAAAUAAUUACUUAAUUAAUAAAUCAGAUUCAUAAGCGAAACAUACCAGAUAUAAAAUACGCACAACUUAUUCUAAUAUUCAUAUAAACAUCAAUUGAUCAGGCCAACGAAAAUAUAAAUAAAAGAAUAAGAAAAAUGGGAGAAAGCUAUUAAAUAAAUAUAGGUACAACUCCAGAGCAAUAUCCUCUCAUGAUCAUCUUCACAUCAGAACAGGAAAAUCUCGACUACACGAACAUAAAAUAAAACUACAAAGAAAACUAAAUAAACUAUUUAGUUCUAAAAUGUCUAACUUUCAACAACUGUCUAACGAAGUUAUAAGUGUUUAUAUACGCACAAAUUAGAGCAACCAUUAAUGUCAAUUAUUACUAAAAUACCCCUGAUACUAAUAAAUUUGUAUUUAGUAAACUGAAUAUUUAAAAUUUGUUCACGUGACCACUGUUGUGAGCAAUUUGUCACGAUGACGUCAAGACUCCGCGGCGCCAAAAUCCCACAUCGCAAUGUCAGCCCUAUUUUUAGCCUUUGAUGAUUCAAAGUUCGGUGUCAAGACGUGGUAUGUUGAUGCCGCGUCAUGACCUUUGUUCCUUGCAUACUUAAGCUUAAAUCGAUGUCCUACACACUCAAAUAACCCAUUAGUCAUACCCAAGGCCCAAAUUGGUCUUAUGGGUCGUUAAAAAACUGAAUAAUGGGUAAAAACACUUAUUUUACCGAAAUUAAACUUAAACUACUAAAAAUAGAAAACGAAAUAAACACAUAUAAAAGAGCUAGAAAAUAUGCUCAUUAAGUGCCAAAAUGACUUUAAUUUCCACAACGAAUUGUGGUAGAUUAAUGAUUCAGACUGUAGGAAAUGUAGAUGACUAGAAAAUCAUAUAUGAUGGAUGUUUCUACCUGGGCUUGAAUCUUGUAUCUUGGUAUAACAAGAAGCAAUCAUCCAUUUCAUUAUCAACAACAAAGGCAAAGUAUAUUGUAGUUGGUAGUUGUUUUUCACAACUACUUUAGAUGAAACAAAUGAUUGGCAAACUUUGGAAUUUGAAUUAUUUUAAAUUAUAUUUAAAAUAUAUUAAAUAAUCAAUUCAAAUAUUAUAAUAGAAAAAUAUUGAAUAUAAUUAAAUCAUUUUUAACAUAUUCAACAUACAAUAUAGUUUUACUUUAUUUAAUUAAUGAAAAGUAAUAUUAUUCAAAAAAAUAACUAAUUAAAAUAAUUAAAUUUAAUAUUAAUUAAGUAAUAAUUAAGAUACUUAGUAUUCUAUUCAUGUAAUACAUCAUUAAAUUUAGCAUAGCACAACUUUUGUCUAUGUAAAAAAAAAAUUUAAACUAAUAUUUGUGAAUUAUAAUUAUAAUUAUCAAAACUCUUUUUAACUAAUAAUUGUAACUUAAAUUUUAAUUGUUUUUAAAUUUAUAAAUAUCACAAUUUAUCUUUUAUUUCAACUUUUUAAAUUAAUAAUCCAAAAUAAAACAUGAUAAUUAUUUUUAAAUAUAAAUUUAAUAAUAUUAUCGAAAAUAAUAAGCAUUCUUGUGAGUUCAAUUUUUUUUUUCUUUCCAAACUCACACAUAUAUUAUAGAUAAACUACCCAUUUUCUACAAUAGUUAUCAAUUUACUAAUAUCUAACUUUAAAAAAAAAAUUAUUUUGAGAUAGCCAUCCAGUUAUCUUCACUUUAUGUGUCUUAUUUGAAUUAAUAUUUAGGAGAAUUUUUUUUCACAUGUGCAUACAUGUAAAAAUUUUGUAAUUUGAAAAUAUAUGUGUUCAAAAAUAACAUAUAAUAAAUAAUGAAACGUAAGUUUUGAAAUUAAUAAUAACAGCUCAUAUGCAAUAUGUAUGAAAUUAAAAUAAAAAAUAAUUUAAAUUGUAGGUAAAAGGAAAUUUAAAUAGGUAAAUACAUUAAAUCAAGAAUAUUAAAUGCACUAUAAUUAUUUAUCAUAGUGUUGUCAUUUCUCUUAAGAUGACUUGUGACACCAAUACAAUCAACGAUAUUAUCAAUAUAAAUAAUGUGAGUGAAAUAAUUUGCAUAAUAAUAUUAAAAUAUAUCAAAGUAUCAAAAGAAAGCUUUGAUAGAAGUGAUAAAGUAAAAAUUUUAUAAAUAUUGAUAGCAUGACUUCAAAUAUCAACAUAUGCAAAAUUUAUAUUGAUUUUAUUUAAAAUGUACAAAUACAAAAGAAUAAUUGUAAGAAUAUAACUUAUUUCAAAUAUAUUAAGUAAUUUAGUAAUUUCUUAAGUUGGUAACAAUUUGAUAUUUAAAUAAUAAUAUAUAUUAUUAAUUAAAUUGAGGUUACAAAUUAAUAAAACACAAAUUCAAUUUAAAAAUAAAACAAAAUAUUUUUUUUCUGAUUUUUGUCGGAAAAUAUCUUAUUUAUUUUAAUAAUUUAAACACCAUAGCUUUUCUGUGGUCCAAAAAACAGGAUAAGACUGGCGUUGAAGGUCCUAGUCCCACCCAUGCCCAUGCGGGCCAUACUGUGUGUCGAUAUCCGACCCCGUGAUGUAAUAUCACUAUUGAAAUUAUAAAAAGUUGUCGUAUUUAAAAGACGUUUCACAUGCAUCCACUGUUCAAGUUGUUUUAGUUCAUACAAACUAUAUGCAUAUUCAAUGUAUGAAUAUGUAUUCCUUUUGGCAGCUACAACAUUCAACUUAAACUACUAACGAACAAAAAUGACCCUGUGAUAGAUUCAAUGUCCAAUCAAUGUCUUACUAAAUUAGGAUAUAUUCUAAAUCCAUCUUCGUAAUUGUCAAGUAGAAUUCACAUGAUUUCAGAUCUCCUACAAAAAUGGGAAAUCCAUUUGACCAAAGUGAUUAAUCUUGAAAACUAUUAGAAAAACUACUGCAACAGAAAGUGAAAGUCGAACCAAUUAGCAUUGCCAUAAACAUAAUAGCUAGUCAGGACAAUGAUUUUUUUUCAACCCCCCAGCUUGAUGCGGUUGCGAAAAGGACUGUUUUAAUACUAAAGUUAUACAGAAUUUUAAAUCAUACUAUGACGGUGGGAGAGAUGUGAAGAGUCACUAAAAUAAGAGUGAUUUAUACUGUAAAUUAUGUGGAGAGUCAUAAAAAUAUAAAUUUGAGAAGGUUAAGGUUAAGUUUUGAUAAAGUAUAGACUAUGUAUGGUGUAUGGCUCUCUUACUCCAAAGCUGAGGAGAGAUAUUUAUAUAGGGAGGUCAGUUGAGCAUGAGUCCUAACCAUUAAAUUUUCUAUCUCAUAAGUGCAAUAGUGGAGUGAUGGAUGUUAGUCGAGGGUAUUGAGUUAACUUGAAAGGGCUAGACGAGACAUUCGUUAAGUCAAUGUAAUAGAUUUAAGAGUGUCAUUAGAAACUCUUUCUCUUGUAACUCUUAAGGAUCAUGUGGCGCUUUGUAUGAUAGAAUGUUUAGGCAAGGUUAUUGUAAAGGUGAGUAAAAUCUAAUUCAAUUCGUAAAAUUCGAUAAAAAAUAUAAUUUUUGAAUUAAAUAGUUCGAGUUAUGUGAGUUAAUCGAGUUAUUUGGAUCAACUCGAAUAAAAAUUAAUUUUUUUUGUUUAACUCGAAUAUGAAUUACACUUUGAAUUAUCAGAAAAUCCAAAUAAGAAAAGGCAAAACUACAUUUGUUUUGAUAAAUAUUUACCUUUUCUAAAGUUAAAAGUCAAAACAUUUAAGGUAAAAGGUAAAAUUACGUCAUUUUAAUAAAUGUUUACCCAUUAAGUUAAAAGAUAAAACCAUUAUAUUGUUUAUAUAGUUAAAUAAUCUUGUACUUCGGCUACUAGUUAAACAAUUGGUCUAUGUAAAUACAACAUUAAGUAUUAAUAAUAGGAUUCGUCUACUCGACUCGACUUGUGCCGAAAAUUUUUUCCUCAAUUCAAUUUGAUUCGAAAAAAUUUUCAAAUUGAGUUUGGUUGCUAAAAUAGGAUUCUUUAACUCAAUUAACUUGAAAUUUUUUAACUCGAUUCCAAUUAACUCGAUCGAAUACUCACCCCAAGCUACUGCCCUCUUGGAGAGGCCACAUAUUCUUAUAGUUGUUGAAUGAUCCAGUGAGUCGGUCUAGGCAAGGGUAUAACAACUACCCCUUAGUUGAAAGACAGGUUACAAAGUGACCUGGCCUGAGCUAAUUCAUUAGCAAACCUUACUCGAACCUUGGUGAGGCUUGUAGAGGGUUUUGAAGUGUCAUCGUUAUUGUCUGAUUAUUGCACCUGUGUAUUGAUUACUCUUAGAUGCAUGUUUGUAUUUAAUUGAAAGAUUUUUUUAAACACAUUUCUCUUUAUUUUAUUGAGCCAAUAUUUAGAGAAAAAUAAUUUUGAAAUCAAGUUAAAAUUCGAUCUGACCUGCCUCAUGGAUAAAUUUAUAUCUAACUCUAUUUUACAAUAUUUUUAAUUUUGCCUCACCUGAAAAUGCUAAAUGGAACAUUCGCGAGCAUGUUAUAGAUUAAGGGACUCAUAUAUUCUCAUAUUCCUAUAAAUGUUGAAUAAUCGGAGGGGAUUUAAAAGAGAGGGUUAUAACAAAGACUAAUAUGGAUGUGGCUUGCUGACUCAAGUAGGGAAAAUGUGGCCAACAUGGUGUGGGAACCCGGCGGGUGAAGCGUCUUCGGCUCCACUUAGACCCCACACUCAUGCUUUGAAGGUUAAAUGUUGCGAUCUUUCAAUUCCAAUACAUUGAUAACAAUUUGCCUUUUUUUCUGAGGCCAGCGUUGAAGUUUCUCCCACUUGAUUUGCCAUUUGACAAGGAAAACUGGGCCAAUUGGAAUUCCCUGUUUAUCACAUAUAUUAAAUUAUUGGUCAUUCUAAAACUGUGACUGCUGCAGAUAUUUUUUUCUUCAUCUUUUUUAUAAACUGACCGUAAAAAUUUAAUUAAUUAUUUAAAUAAUCUAUUUUUUUAUAAAAUAUAAAAAUAACCUAAAAUCUAUCGUAAAAAUUGGUGAAAGUUAAAGUGUUUGGCACUACUAACAUAUCAAAUUAACAAUCAAGAUAAAAAAAUUAAUUUUUUAGCAAAACCAUUUAAAAUGACACCACCGACAUAAAUAUUAAGAAAAUGCUGCAAUUUUUGAAAAAAUAAAAAGGCUUUCAGCCAAGUUAUUUUUUUUAGUGAAGCCAAAUAAUUUGGCAUCACAUUCCAACACCCUAUCGUGCUUUUCCUUAUUUUUUUAUUUGUUUGUUUACAUUUAUUUUAUAAUAUUAUAAUAUAUAUUUUAAAUUUUUUAUAAUAUUAUUUCUUAAACUUUAAAUAUAUUUUUUAAAAUUUUAAAUAUGUACUUUUUAAUAUUAUAAAAAAUUUAAAACAUAUUAUUUUUAAAGAUAUGACAUUUUAAAUUUAUUAUUUGUUUUAUAAUAUUUUUAAUGUAUAUUUUAAAAUUUUUAAAAAUUAUUUUUAAAUAUAUUCAAACGUUUUUAAAAAUAAUAUUUAAAAUUUUAAAACAUAAUAUUUUAUUUAGUGGAAAAAAAACGAAUAGGCUAGAAAAAAGUAGAAAAAGAAAAAAAUGAAAAACAAAUAAAAAAUAGGAAAAGCAAAUUAGGCAGCAGAAUAGGGCUUUAGAAUCUAUUUAGCUCUACUAAAAAGGUAAAUUUACUUAAAGCCCUCCAUUUUUUUUCAAAAACCGUAGUAUUUCCCUAAUAUUUAUACAAGUGGCGCCAUUCUACAUGGCUCCACAAAAAAAUUAAUUUUUUUAUCCUGAUUGCUGACGUGACAUGUUGGUAGCACCAAAUAUUUGACUUCACCAAUUUUUAUUAUAAAUUUUAGAUUAUUUUCGAAUUUUAUCAAAAGAAUAAGUCAUUUAAAUAAUUAAUUAAUGUUUUAGGUUAGUUAAAAAAAAACCUAUUUUUAUGAUAACAACAAAAAAUAUAUAUAUUCAACAGUAGUAACUUAGAAUGGGAAUAUUCCAUAUGAAUGGUUUAAUAUCGGAAUUCGUUUUAUCAGUUUCACUAUUUGAAUUUUUAUAUGUUGUUUUAAAAAUUUUCAACAUAGUAAAUUCAGAUAUUUAACAUAAUAGAAUAUUGAUUUAAGGCUUUAAAAAGUGUUUAAUUUUUUUUAAAAAGUCAUUAAGUCUAUUUUUUUUUGUUUUUUAUUUUUUUGCACACAAUGUAUAUUUGAUCUUUCAAAAUGCAUAAAAAAUACCUUCAAACUUUUUUAAGAAAAGCAAUUAAGCUCCUAAAUUUUUUCACCCAAUUGGGUACUUGAACUGUUAAAUGCUUCAAAAAUACCAUUUAACCAUUAACUUUAACAGUUGAUCGUUAAAUUUAAUUACCCCUGAUCUUUUUUAGUCAAAGCCACUUGUGUAACAACCAUGGCGUGGCAUGUGACAAAAAAAUUAUAAAAAAUAAAAAUCAAAAAAAUUUAUAAAAUAUUUAAUUUUAAUAAAAAUAUUUAGAAUUUAUUAAAAAUUAGGAUUGUUUUAUAAAUACCAUAAAAAUUAUAAAAUGCAUAAAAAAACCUUUAACUAUUAACUUUAACCGUUAAAGAUAACAGCUUCUUGUUUUUUUUAAUUAAAGUUAUCAUAUAUCGCAACACGGCAUGACAUGCUUUUUUAGUACAGUAAUUUUUAUAAGUCUUUUUCCAAUUUUAUAUUUCUUUAUUUUUUUAUAAUUUUGUUAUGACUUUAUAAAAUUUUAUAAUUUUUUUUCUAUAUUUCUAUAUAUUUUACAAUUUUUACAACUUUUAUAAAAUUUUAAAAUUCUUUAUAAAUUCUUUUAAGAUUUUAUAAUUAUUCUAAUUAUUCUAAUUUUUAAAUAUUUUAAUUAAAAUUUAAUAUUUUUAUAAACUUUCAUUGAUUUUUAUUUUUUAUCAUUUUUUGUUACAUGUCCUAUUGAGGUUGUGACAUGUGGUGACUUUAUCUAAAAAAAUUAGGAGUAGUUAAAAUACCCAAUUGAGUGAAAAAAGGACUUAAUUAUUUUUUUAAAAAAGUUUGAAGGUUUUUUAUGUAUUUUAAAAAUUUAAGUACCUAAUUGAAUGUAAAAUAAAAAAAAGUAGGGACUUAUUUAUUUUUUUAAAAAGUUUAAAUUUUUUAUAUAUUUUAAAAGUUUAAAUAUUCAAAUACAAGUGUAAAAGAAAAAAAAAACAAAGCUUAAUGAUUUAGUUUUUUGAAAAAGUAUACAAGGAAAUUUGAUAAAUUUAAAAAAUCCAACCGCAGCCGACAGAAUUUUGUCAUGUUUGUUUUAAAAUAUCUAGCUAAAAGACAAAGGGCCAUAUCGUAUCAAUUUUAUUGUUUUCAACUGUAACCCGAUUUGUGUUACCUCGUGAACACAACUUGUCCCUAAUUAUUCCAAUGAGGCUUGGCCCUUAAAGCCUAGUUAGGACCAAUUACAUCACGUAUGCGAGAAUUACGCACAUGCACAUGCGGUAACAUUUUCCCUAUAAAUUGCUGGCCUUUGCCUCCACCAUUUUCAUCAUUCCAGUUGCUCUCAUUUUUCUUUGGAAACAAAAAACAAAAAAUAGAAAAAAUAAAGAGCAAGAGAUAUGGCAAGCACAUUCUCUUAUAAUUCUUUUGGAUUCCUUCUCAUUCUUGUCGCCUCUAGUUCCUUGAUAAAUAUAAGUUCAGCUGGUAGGCAAAUUGCCCCUAAAACUAGCAUUGAGUUUAUCAGAACAUCUUGUAGUUCAACGACUUACCCUAAACUUUGUUACGAAUCUCUCUUAACACAGGCUAGCAUGAUCCAAACAAGCCCCCAACUCAUCGCCCAUGCAGCCCUAAACGUGACCCUUUCAACCGCCAAGUCAACCUCGGCCAUGAUGGUGAAGCUUGCCAAAAGCCAAGGAUUGAAGCCUACAGAGGUGGGCGCCAUGCAAGAUUGCGUGGAGGAAUUGGAGGACACGAUAGAUGAGCUGAGAAAGUCAAUCAGCGAGAUGGGUCAGAUUAAAGGCUCCAAUUUUGGACUAAUGAUUAACGAUAUACAGACAUGGGUUAGCGCUGCUUUGACGGAUGAGAACACCUGCGCCGACGGGUUUGGAGGGAAAAACAUGAACGGCAGUAUAAAGACUGCUGUGAGAUCCAAGAUUGUCACAAUCGCUCAUUUGACAAGUAAUGCCUUGGCUUUGGUCAACAGCUAUGCUUCAUUUCAUGGUUAGCUAUUUAAUCAACUGUACAGGGGAAAUUUAGUCAUUAUUUACGGUAGCAAUUGUAUUUAUGGAUUUUUAGAAACUACUUCUGUUUUCCUGGUAAAUGUAAAAUAUAUAUGUGGUCCAAAGAAGGGAAUGGAGAUGUGUGUGUGUGUGUGUGUGAUCUUGGUGUCUUAAUGAAAAUGAACGGAGUGAUCUAUAUUAUGUGCACACGUUGUAUCUGUACAAUAAAUUGCUUUUUGUGAACAUAGUAAAAGUAAAGUUGAUGAAGCCUCUGUUGCAGCAUACAAGCAGAGGUUUUAGUUUGUUGCAAGUACAUCUGGUCUUGAUUUUGUAUAGACAUAGUAGUAUUAUUUUGAUCUCAUAUUUUUGUAACUCAUUUAAGACUACUUAAUAACUUUACUAAAUGCAAAUUUUGUUUCAAACGUCAAGAUUAAUUUGGUAUUCAAAAAUAUCUUGUACUUGAAAUUACGAGUAUUUUCGAUAUUAAUAUAUUCGAGCACUCAACUUCCACUUCAAAUUCUGGGCCCUUGGUCCCUACCCAAUGAUGAUUGCCUACCCCGUACUUAGUUGCAUACUUUCUUGGUUUAAUUAUUAGAAUAAAUAUCUAUCAUUAGUUUAUUAGUUGUUUUUUCUUCAGUAAAAAUAUGCUCACACUCGACUCGAUUGUUGAAUCUAAAUAUAAAGUACAACAUUUAUUGUCGAAGUAACUCAAAUUAACUACCACUUCAAUUGUAAUUUUGAACAUCAAUUAUUCAUUACUCAUAUCAAUACUAAGUGAUUAAAAACAAUUUCAGUUCAUUUAAGAUGAAUCAGAAACAUUUUAAAAUAAAUUCUAGGUGUUCGGGGCUGAUUGGGACAAAGUUCGAGUCUCAAGGGUUAAAAUGAGCCCAUUUAAAAUGAAUUAGAAACACACUUGUAAGGCUAUAAUGAGCCCAUUUAGGCAUAACACCCUCAACUGAUUUAAAACAUAGUAGAAUGAGUCCCAUGAUAUAGGUUCAUAAUUAUCCUUUGCACAUUUAGCGGAAUUGAACGCUUAUCCCACCACAUCACGCUAAUAGAUAAAAAGACCUCUCCUAUAAAUAACCUGAUGAACAAGGAAGAAGGGAUCGAUGGCCAACACCCUAAAAUUACAUCUUGAUCGACAUAUCCUAUUGUCCCUAUUUUGACUGUUAACCUCUUUAAGUGAACUGACCUUCAUUUCUCCUCAGUCCAAGUCCUAUAAGAGGUGGUAAGUGGUGUUGGACUCUAAUAUAGUUUAUAUUCUACUAAUCCAAUCAUUACGAGAUUAAGUAAUUAUAUAUUGGGUACUUAUAUCCUUCAAAAAAUAACCCCAAUAAUUAACUUAAAAAGAGAGAGAAAAACUAACCCUGUAAUCAUUUUCCGGUGGAGAAUUUUGGCAUCCAAAAUAGGAGUAUCCUCUCCUUACGUUAUGUUUU
rnacentral:lncRNA from 1 species